AUCCCGCUGACAAGUCCCAAACAGGACUGAACGCGCAUCCUGGAU
rfam:Schistosoma mattheei strain Denwood, Zambia genome assembly, scaffold: SMTD_scaffold0000902